rnacentral:misc_RNA from 1 species
GAUGAAGAACGCAGCGAAAUGCGAUAAGUAAUGUGAAUUGCAGAAUUCAGUGAAUCAUCGAAUCUUUGAACGCACAUUGCGCCCGCCAGUAUUCUGGCGGGCAUGCCUGUCCGAGCGUCAUUUCAACCAUCAAGCCCCCGGGCUUGUGCUGGGGACCUGCGGCUGCCCGCAGGCCCUGAAAACCAGUGGCGGGCUCGCUGUCACACCGAGCGUAGUAGCAAUCACCUCGCUCAGGGCGUGCUGCGGGUUCCGGCCGUUAAACAGCCUUACAAAACCCAAGGUUGACCUCGGAUCAGGUAGGAAGACCCGCUGAACUUAAGCAUAUCAAUAAGCGGAGGA